rnacentral:rRNA from 1 species
UGGGGAAUAUUGGACAAUGGGCGAAAGCCUGAUCCAGCCAUGCCGCGUGUGUGAAGAAGGUCUUCGGAUUGUAAAGCACUUUAAGUUGGGAGGAAGGGCAGUAAGCGAAUACCUUGCUGUUUUGACGUUACCGACAGAAUAAGCACCGGCUAACUCUGUGCCAGCAGCCGCGGUAAUACAGAGGGUGCAAGCGUUAAUCGGAAUUACUGGGCGUAAAGCGCGCGUAGGUGGUUCGUUAAGUUGAAUGUGAAAGCCCCGGGCUCAACCUGGGAAAUGCAUCCAAAACUGGCAAGCUAGAGUAGGGCAGAGGGUGGUGGAAUUUCCUGUGUAGCGGUGAAAUGCGUAGAUAUAGGAAGGAACACCAGUGGCGAAGGCGACCACCUGGGCUCAUACUGACACUGAGGUGCGAAAGCGUGGGGAGCAAACAGG